GGCAAAUUCUAUCCCUUCGAGAAAAAAUGGCGACGGCGCUCCUCUUCUUCCCCUUCUCCCCCUUAUCCAUCCACCGAAACCCUAACCCUAGACCUUACUCCCCCGUCCGCCUCUCCCUCUCCUCCUCCAGAACCUCCCGUGCCGCCGCCCUCGCCAUCGCCACCCGGAGGUCUGUCCUCACCGCUCCGCCGCCGCCGACCGCCAGCGUCUCCGACGACCUCCUCGACAUCUCCAAGCUCGGCAUCUCCGAACACAUCGUCGAGGCUCUCGCUCGCCGUGGCAUCACUGAGCUCUUCCCCAUCCAGAGAGCUGUGUUGGAGCCGGCGAUGGAGGGCCGGGAUAUGAUUGGAAGAGCUAUAACUGGUUCGGGGAAGACACUAGCGUUUGGUAUUCCCAUUUUGGAUAAG
rnacentral:misc_RNA from 1 species